rnacentral:rRNA from 1 species
CCUACGGGAGGCUGCAGUGAGGAAUAUUGGUCAAUGGGCGGAAGCCUGAACCAGCCAAGUCGCGUGAGGGAAUAAGGCCCUACGGGUCGUAAACCUCUUUUGCCGGGGAGCAAGGGCGGGGACGUGUCCCGGCCCGGAGAGUACCCGGAGAAACAGAAUCGGCUAACUCCGUGCCAGCAGCCGCGGUAAUAAGGAGGAUGCGAGCGUUAACCGGAUUUAUUGGGUUUAAAGGGGGCGUAGGCGGGCUUUUAAGUCAGCGGUAAAAAUUCGGGGCUCAACCCCGUCCGGCCGUUGAAACUGGGGGCCUUGAGUGGGCGAGAAGAAGGCGGAAUGCGUGGUGUAGCGGUGAAAUGCUUAGAUAUCACGAAGAACUCCGAUUGCGAAGGCAGUUCACUGGACUGCAACUGACACUGAGGCUCGAAAGUGUGGGUAUCAAACAGGAUUAGAUACCCUUGUAGUC